CCUACGGGUGGCAGCAGUGAGGAAUAUUGGUCAAUGGGCGGAAGCCUGAACCAGCCAAGUCGCGUGAGGGAAUAAGGCUUUCGGGUUGUAAACUUCUUUUAUCAGGGACGAAGCAAGUGACGGUACCUGAUGAAUAAGCCACGGCUAACUACGUGCCAGCAGCCGCGGUAAUACGUAGGUGGCAAGCGUUAUCCGGAUUUAUUGGGUUUAAAGGGUGCGUAGGCGGACUGUUAAGUCAGCGGUAAAAGCCCGGGGCUCAACCCCGGCGAGCCGUUGAAACUGGCUGUCUGGAGUUGUAGAGAGGUAAGCGGAAUGAGUAGGGGAGAGGGGGAAUGCGGAGAGAGUGGGAAGAACA
rnacentral:rRNA from 1 species